rnacentral:tRNA from 1 species
GGGGCUGUAGCUCACUUGGGAGAGCGCUUGAAUGGCAUUCAAGAGGUAGACGGUUCGAUCCCGUUCAGCUCCA